AUUGAACGCUGGCGGCAUGCUUUACACAUGCAAGUCGAACGGUAACAGGUUAAGCUGACGAGUGGCGAACGGGUGAGUAAUGCAUCGGAACGUGCCCGAUCGUGGGGGAUAACGUAGCGAAAGUUACGCUAAUACCGCAUACGAUCUGAGGAUGAAAGCGGGGGACCGUAAGGCCUCGCGCGAUCGGAGCGGCCGAUGUCAGAUUAGGUAGUUGGUGGGGUAAAGGCCCACCAAGCCGACGAUCUGUAGCUGGUCUGAGAGGACGACCAGCCAGACUGGAGCUGAGACACGGUCCAGACUCCUACGGGAGGCAGCAGUGGGGAAUUUUGGACAAUGGGCGAAAGCCUGAUCCAGCAAUGCCGCGUGUGUGAAGAAGGCCUUCGGGUUGUAAAGCACUUUUGUCCGGAAAGAAAUGGCUCUGGUUAAUACCUGGGGUCGAUGACGGUACCGGAAGAAUAAGGACCGGCUAACUACGUGCCAGCCGCCGCCGUAAGAC
rnacentral:rRNA from 1 species